AGAGUUUGAUUCUGGCUCAGGAUGAACGCUGGCGGCAUGCCUAAUACAUGCAAGUCGAACGAGAGGAAGGAAAGCUUGCUUUUCUGAAUCUAGUGGCGAACGGGUGAGUAACACGUAGGUAACCUGCCCAUGUGCCCGGGAUAACUUCUGGAAACGGAUGCUAAAACCGGAUAGGUAGCAGACAAGCAUUUGACUGCUAUUAAAGUGGCCUUGGCCAUGAACAUGGAUGGACCUGCGGUGCAUUAGCUGGUUGGUGAGGUAACGGCCCACCAAGGCGACGAUGCAUAGCCGGCCUGAGAGGGCGGACGGCCACAUUGGGACUGAGACACGGCCCAAACUCCUACGGGAGGCAGCAGUAGGGAAUUUUCGUCAAUGGGGGGAACCCUGAACGAGCAAUGCCGCGUGAGUGAGGAAGGUCUUCGGAUCGUAAAGCUCUGUUGUAAGAGAAAAACGGCACUCAUAGGGAAUGAUGAGUGAGUGAUGGUAUCUUACCAGAAAGUCACGGCUAACUACGUGCCAGCAGCCGCGGUAAUACGUAGGUGGCGAGCGUUAUCCGGAAUGAUUGGGCGCAAAGGGUGCGUAGGUGGCAGAUCAAGUCUGGAGUAAAAGGUAUGGGCUCAACCCGUACUGGCUCUGGAAACUGAUCAGCUAGAGAACAGAAGAGGACGGCGGAUCUCCAUGUGU
rnacentral:rRNA from 1 species